GAUGAACGCUGGCGGCGUGCUUAACACAUGCAAGUCGAACGGGAAUUAUUUUAUUGAAACUUCGGUCGAUUUAAUUUAAUUCUAGUGGCGGACGGGUGAGUAACGCGUGGGUAACCUGCCUUAUACAGGGGGAUAACAGUCAGAAAUGGCUGCUAAUACCGCAUAAGCGCACAGAGCUGCAUGGCUCAGUGUGAAAAACUCCGGUGGUAUAAGAUGGACCCGCGUUGGAUUAGCUUGUUGGCAGGGUAACGGCCUACCAAGGCGACGAUCCAUAGCCGGCCUGAGAGGGUGAACGGCCACAUUGGGACUGAGACACGGCCCAGACUCCUACGGGAGGCAGCAGUGGGGAAUAUUGCACAAUGGGGGAAACCCUGAUGCAGCGACGCCGCGUGAAGGAAGAAGUAUCUCGGGAUGUAAACUUCUAUCAGCAGGGAAGAUAGUGACGGUACCUGACGAAGAAGCCCCGGCUAACUACGUG
rnacentral:rRNA from 1 species